rnacentral:ncRNA from 1 species
CGCUAUAGGAUGGGGAUGCGUCUGAUUAGCUUGUUGGCGGGGUAACGGCCCACCAAGGCAACGAUCAGUAGGGGUUCUGAGAGGAAGGUCCCCCACAUUGGUACUGAGACACGGACCAAACUCCUACGGGAGGCAGCAGUGAGGAAUAUUGGUCAAUGGGCGGAAGCCUGAACCAGCCAAGUAGCGUGCAGGACGACUGCCCUAUGGGUUGUAAACUGCUUUUAUAGGGGAAUAAAGUGAGGUAUGCAUACCUUUUUGUAUGUACCCUAUGAAUAAGGACCGGCUAAUUCCGUGCCAGCAGCCGCGGUAAUACGGAAGGUCCGGGCGUUAUCCGGAUUUAUUGG